UACGGAGGGUGCAAGCGUUAUCCGGAUUCACUGGGUUUAAAGGGUGCGUAGGUGGGCUGGUAAGUCAGUGGUGAAAUCUCCAGGCUUAACUUGGAAACUGCCAUUGAUACUAUUAGUCUUGAAUACCGUGGAGGUCAGCGGAAUAUGUCAUGUAGCGGUGAAAUGCUUAGAUAUGACAUAGAACACCAAUUGCGAAGGCAGCUCACUACACGAAUAUUGACACUGAGGCACGAAAGCGUGGGGAUCAAACAGG
rnacentral:rRNA from 1 species